AUUUCUUGUUUUUUCAGGUUUGUCAAAGAUCAGAUAGUUGUAGAUGUGUGGUAUUAUUUCUGAGGGCUGUGUUCUGUUCCAUUGGUCUAUAUCUCCGUUUUGCUACCAGUAUCAUGCUAUUUUAGUUACUGUAGCCUUGUAGUAUUGUUUGAAGUCAGGUAGCAUGAUGCCUCCAGCUUUGUUCUUUUGGCUUAGGAUUGACUUGGCAAUGCAACUUCAGCAAAGUCUCAGGAUACAAAAUCAAUUUUCAACAUAAGGGCAAACCAGUAGAAUAAUAUGAAGGACAU
rnacentral:lncRNA from 1 species